CACUCCUGCGGGAGGCAGCAGUGGGGAAUUUUGGACAAUGGGCGAAAGCCUGAUCCAGCAAUGCCGCGUGAGUGAAGAAGGCCUUCGGGUUGUAAAGCUCUUUUGUCAGGGAAGAAACGGUGAGAGCUAAUAUCUUUUGCUAAUGACGGUACCUGAAGAAUAAGCACCGGCUAACUACGUGCCAGCAGCCGCGGUAAUACGUAGGGUGCAAGCGUUAAUCGGAAUUACUGGGCGUAAAGCGUGCGCAGGCGGUUUUGUAAGUCUGAUGUGAAAUCCCCGGGCUCAACCUGGGAAUUGCAUUGGAGACUGCAAGGCUAGAAUCUGGCAGAGGGGGGUAGAAUUCGACGUGUAGCAGUGAAAUGCGUAGAUAUGUGGAGGAACACCGAUGGCGAAGGCAGCCCCCUGGGUCAAGAUUGACGCUCAUGCACGAAAGCGUGGGGAGCAAACAGGAUUAGAUACCCUUGUAGUCCCAUG
rnacentral:rRNA from 1 species